CCUUUCAGUGGGUUUGUCUUCCUCUUCGCUUUUCAUUCUCUCUGAAGCAGGGCUCUGAAACCAGGACUGACCACAGCUUUUCUGUACAGGUGAGUAGAGAAUGAUGUCAGCCAGUCCCUAUUUUCCCUUGAAAACAGGCACCAGGAAACCAAACACCAUUGCGAGAUCCAAUCGGGAGAACGGCGCCAGGAAGUUCCAUGGGAAGCUGUUGGCAGUUGGCAGUGGAGGCGAGAACCAAUCACGGCAGGAAGGAGGCGGGGACAGAACAGUGCUGUUCUGAGUAAUAGCCCCCAGUGGUACAAAAGGAAGGUUGAAGGCUUCAGUGGCACCCUGGACAGAGAGCUCUGUGCACAACAGAUUCCAGCCACAUCCGACAGCCUUACCACGUGGUCAGACAGUGUUGGAAGGUGGAGUGGAAGGCAGGGAGCCCAAAUGGUAACUGGAGUCAGAGCCAAUGAAAGGGACUUGGCAGAACCACUCACCUCUAGCUUAAGGAAGAUCCCCACAGCAAAGCAGCGGGUGACCCAGUUCACUAUUCCACCCAACGUGAAAGCUGUGGCCCGUGAUGAUUGAAGGAAGAUCUCGAGAGUGACCACGGGGACCAGCUGUAUUUCCAGCAAACCUUACUGCCCAGCCGGAAACCAAUAUCCCCACUUGUGGAAGGACGUGCAGACCCAGAACUAGCCUCCACAGUCGCUUACAGAUGCUCUGUUAAAACCGUGUUCAUGGAGGACAAUCUUAUUCUGCUGUGAGUGAUCACCAAAGAAGAA